rnacentral:lncRNA from 1 species
GUCACGAGCAAGCUCGACUCCGCUUGGGUGAAAAGGAAAGGCUCAGAAAUUGUUUCUGAGAGGUGAACCAUCGUCCGGGCAGCACGUGCCUGCCUACAUGACCCAGAGGUGCACCGAGGUUUUCAAGGGGGAAUCAAGCUCAGCCGUGACGUUAGACGGCCCGUCUGUCUGCUUUGUGCAGUCUUGUGCCCUGGGAAGUGUUACAGCGUCGGUCUGGUCCUUGCAGUAUUAAUAACUGGCAGCAAGCCAAGAGGCUUUGUUGCAUGUAAUUUUGAGCCAAUGGGGGAAAGUGAAAAUAGUAGUUAUGACUGUUGGGAAAGUUAGUCUCUUAGGCAAAAGAAAAGAGGAACGACCAUUAUUAAAUAAGAAAAUGGGCUGAAGCCUUUCAAAUCAACUUUUUAUUUUUUUUAAAUAAGCUACCCAAUUUUCAGCUAUAAAGUUAGGUUUGGGUAACAUGUUUAGUAUGCUCAGUUAUUUUUGUUUGUUUGUUUGUGUUAAGCAUCCAAAAUAAUAUAGUUAUAUUUUAUGAUCAUUGAGAAAGAUAUCAAUGAAGAGGAAUACUUGAGAUAUCUGGGUCCCAUUUUGUAAGUUGAGGGGAAAGUUAAUAUUGUGCAAACAUUGGAAAGAAUGUGAUUAUCAGUCUUUGUGUUUUCCAGUAAAUAUUCUUGACUGUAACUACAGUUUUAACAUUGAGGCAGAAAUUGGCCUUUGUUCUGAGAAUCAGGAAAUAAAGAGACAAAAAAAAGGAAUAUUUUAGUACAUUGUUCCCUAGAAUGAGAGAUAUUGAGAGAUUUAAGCAGAAUUCACAAAUUCAAGGAAAAAAAGAAAAUUUAAUACUUCCAAAGUUUUCAGCUAGAUAAUCACAGUUCUUGAUAAUGC